rnacentral:misc_RNA from 1 species
GAUGAAGAACGUAGCGAAAUGCGAUAAGUAAUGUGAAUUGCAGAAUUCAGUGAAUCAUCGAAUCUUUGAACGCACAUUGCGCCCGCCAGCACUCUGGCGGGCAUGCCUGUUCGAGCGUCAUUUCAACCAUCAAGCCCCCAGGGGCUUGUGCUGGGGCCCUGCGGCUGCCCGCAGGCCCUGAAAACCAGUGGCGGGCUCGCUAGUCACACCGAGCGCAGUAGCACAUCUCGCUCAGGGCGUGCGGCGGGCUCCUGCCGUGAAACCCCCCACUGUAACCCCAAAGGUUGACCUCGGAUCAGGUAGGAAUACCCGCUGAACUUAAGCAUAUCAAUAAGCGGAGGU